CGGGGGGCGGAGACAGAGAGAGAGAGAGAGGCGUGCGCUCCCGCGGACGCGCGUGCGCCAGGCUUUCUGCCCCGGGCUCCGCCGGGCUCCAGCCCGGCUCCAGCCGGCGUCCGUGCGGCGUGCGUCCGUCCGGAGACCCAGUGACCCCGAGAGGGGAGGACAGGGGGAAAGCCGGACAGCCGCACAGUGCAACACACCCAGCCUGCGUGUGAACACACACCAAGCGCCCAGAGGAGUGGAAGUGACUUGUUUAGCUCCUCAGUCGAGAGUGACAGCGAUGAGCAUCAGAGGGCGACAUCUGAGUGGCCACUGUGCGAGCAGCGCCCGCCUUAAGAUCCUGUAGUUCUCCCAGAAACACUACGGAGGCAAAUACUGUGAUUUCACUUGGCAGAUGAGAAAACUGAGGUUCCAAGCAUAUGUUGUACUUUACCUGAGGCCCCAGAACUAGAAACGGGGGUGGGGGGAGCGCACAACGCUUAAAUUCUGCACAUCAUUUAUCUAAAGGGGUGAAAGGGCCCCGUCUCAAGAAGAGGGGUACAGGGUGGGAAGCCCCCGGGAAGAGGUGCGGCUCGGAUUCUCACAGCCCUUUCUAAGUUUCUCCAAUCUACCCAUGAGAAACUACGAUGCCACCACUGUCUUGGAGAUUAGAAAGGGGGCAGAAUAUAGGUUGCACUUGCUUCUCGGUGAAUGAAAAAAUAAAUAAAAAGGAAAGGACAUGGUUCUGGUGGAAGUUACAUCCAAGCCCCCCUCCCCCUAUGUCUCCAAACCCUGCUGCAUCUCAGAAAGCCCGCCAAAUGAUGACCCCUCCCCCAGAGAUGCUCAAGACCACUCCACAGGGUAUUUAAACUGCCUCCCAGAAAAGAGACUCAAAAGUGGUUUUUUCAGCAUCCUUUCCCCAGCUCCUCUCUGGGGGACUGGAAGGCCAUCCGGGAGCCCUGUGUCCAUUAAACGUGUUUUGUUUGUUUGUUUGUUUGUUUUUGUUUUUCCUAGUUGGGUUUGAUUUGGUCUGAUUUGGAUUGCUGCAUGGGCGGGGAGGCUUUUCCCCGGGCUACAGAAACUUUUCAGACAUGACUGCUCCUGGUUUGCUGGAGGAGGAGGAGGAGGUUUAUUGUAGGCAAAAGGGAGACCUAGUCAGAGGCAGCGACAGCUGGGAGAGUCCAGAGAGAACAUGCCCCUGAGCCAUGUGAGGAGACGGAGAAGGGAAGAGCCAGAUCAAGAGGCCAGGAGGGGUUUCUCUGUGUAGCUUUGGAGCCUAUCCUGGCACUCGCUCUUGUAGAUCAGGCUGGUCUCGAACUCACAGCGAUCCCCCUGCCUCUGCCUCCCGAGUGCUGGGAUUAAAGGCGUGCGCCACCACCCUGCUCCACUUUGACAUGUCAAUGGCACCUCAGCCCUUUGUCCCCGUGUUUGACACCCGAACAACACCCAGGAGACCCCCUGGGACCUCAGGAACGAAGGGGCCUAACAUGCCUUGCAUGUGCAGACAGCCUAGCCCGUCCUGCCUCAUCAGCUGCCCAGCGGAGCCAAAGUUAAGAACCCAAGGAUUCCAAGACGAGAGAUGAGGAGAGCACAGGUCUCGAGGCGCUCGUGCCCUUUUUGCCUGCUGAGGAUGGAAGGAUACAAGAACUUGUACAUAGAGGAAAGAAAGUGAAGAACAAGGGAAAAAAUAAGAAAAUAGAAGAGAAGGAG
ensembl:lncRNA